rnacentral:rRNA from 1 species
UCCAGACUCCUACGGGAGGCAGCAGUGGGGGAUAUUGCACAAUGGGGGGAACCCUGAUGCAGCGACGCCGCGUGGGUGAAGGAGCGUUUCGGCGCGUAAAGCCCUAUCGGCAGGGAAGAAGAUGACGGUACCUGACUAAGAAGCCCCGGCUAACUACGUGCCAGCAGCCGCGGUAAUACGUAGGGGGCAAGCGUUAUCCGGAUUCACUGGGCGUAAAGGGAGCGCAGGCGGCAUGGCAAGUCUGAUGUGAAAACCCGGGGCCCAACCCCGGGAGUGCAUUGGAAACUGCCAGGCUGGAGUGUCGGAGGGGUAAGCGGAAUUCCUAGUGUAGCGGUGAAAUGCGUAGAUAUUAGGAGGAACACCAGUGGCGAAGGCGGCUUACUGGACGACUACUGACGCUGAGGCUCGAAAGCGUGGGGAGCAAACAGGAUUAGAUACCCGCGUAA